GACGAACGCUGGCGGCGUGCUUAACACAUGCAAGUCGAACGAAGAGCGACGGAAGCUUGCUUCUAUCAAUCUUAGUGGCGAACGGGUGAGUAACGCGUAAUCAACCUGCCCUUCAGAGGGGGACAACAGUUGGAAACGACUGCUAAUACCGCAUACGAUCUAAUCUCGGCAUCGAGGGUGGAUGAAAGGUGGCCUCUACAUGUAAGCUAUCACUGAAGGAGGGGAUUGCGUCUGAUUAGCUAGUUGGAGGGGUAACGGCCCACCAUGGCGAUGAUCAGUAGCAGGUCUGAGAGGAUGAACGGCCACAUUGGGACUGAGACACGGCCCAGACUCCUACGGGAGGCAGCAGUGGGGAAUCUUCCGCAAUGGACGAAAGUCUGACGGAGAAACGCCGCGUGAGUGAUGACGGCCGUCGGGUUGUAAAGCUCUGUUAAUCGGGACGAAAGGGCUUCUUGCGAAUAGUGAGAAGGAUUGACGGUACCGGAAUAGAAAGCAACGGCUAACUACGUG
rnacentral:rRNA from 1 species